GGCGGCGUGCCUAACACAUGCAAGUCAACUUGACUGAAGGAGCAAUCUGACAGUAGAGUGGCGCAAGGGUGCGUAACGCGUAAGUAACUUGCCCAAGGUAAGGAAUAACGUCGAGAAAUCGGCGCUAAUACCUCAUAAUGCAGCGGAUCCGCAUGGAUAUGUUGAUAAAGGUUUACCGCCUUGGGAUAGGCUUGCGUCUGAUUAGCUAGUUGGUGUGGUAACGGCACACCAAGGCUACGAUCAGUGACUGGUCUGAGAGGAUGAUCAGUCACACUGGAACUGAGACACGGUCCAGACUCCUACGGGAGGCAGCAGUGAGGAAUAUUGGGCAAUGCUCGAAAGAGUGACCCAGCAACGCCGCGUGGAGGAUGAAGGUAUUCUAUAUCGUAAACUCCUGUGAGAGCAGACGAAAGACAGAUUAUUAAUCUGGAUGACUGUAUGCUCAGAGGAAGCCCCGGCUAACUACGUG
rnacentral:rRNA from 1 species